rnacentral:rRNA from 1 species
ACGGAUAACAUACCGAAAGGUAUGCUAAUACGGGAUAAUAUAUUUGAGAGGCAUCUCUUAAAUAUCAAAGGUGAGCCAGUACAGGAUGGACCCGCGUCUGAUUAGCUAGUUGGUAAGGUAACGGCUUACCAAGGCGACGAUCAGUAGCCGACCUGAGAGGGUGAUCGGCCACAUUGGAACUGAGACACGGUCCAAACUCCUACGGGAGGCAGCAGUGGGGAAUAUUGCACAAUGGGCGAAAGCCUGAUGCAGCAACGCCGCGUGAGUGAUGAAGGCCUUCGGGUCGUAAAACUCUGUCCUCAAGGAAGAUAAUGACGGUACUUGAGGAGGAAGCCCCGGCUAACUACGUGCCAGCAGCCGCGGUAAUACGUAGGGGGCUAGCGUUAUCCGGAUUUACUGGGCGUAAAGGGUGCGUAGGCGGUCUUUCAAGUCAGGAGUGAAAGGCUACGGCUCAACCGUAGUAAGCUCUUGAAACUGGGAGACUUGAGUGCAGGAGAGGAGAGUGGAAUUCCUAGUGUAGCGGUGAAAUGCGUAGAUAUUAGGAGGAACACCAGUUGCGAAGGCGGCUCUCUGGACUGUAACUGACGCCGAGGCACGAAAGCGUGGGGAGCAAACAGGAUUAGAUACCCUGGUAGUCCACGCUGUAAACGAUGAGUACUAGGUGUCGGGGGUUACCCCCUUCGGUGCCGCAG